rnacentral:rRNA from 1 species
CGCCAGCCUGACGGAGCCAGACCGCGUGGGGGAGGAAGGCCCUUGGGUUGUAAACCCCUUUUCUCAGGGAAGAAACCUGACGGUACCUGAGGAAAAAGCCUCGGCUAACUCCGUGCCAGCAGCCGCGGUAAUACGGAGGAGGCAAGCGUUAUCCGGAAUUAUUGGGCGUAAAGCGUCCGCAGGUGGCGAUUCAAGUCUGCUGUCAAAGCACGGGGCUUAACUCCGUUAAGGCAGUGGAAACUGAAUAGCUAGAGUGCCGUAGGGGUAGAGGGAAUUCCCGGUGUAGCGGUGAAAUGCGUAGAGAUCGGGAAGAACAUCGGUGGCGAAAGCGCUCUACUGGACGGCACCUGACCCUGAGGGACGAAAGCCAGGGGAGCG